UACAGGGGGUGCAAACGUUGCUCGGAAUCAUUGGGCGUAAAGCGCACGUAGGCGGUUCGUUAUGUCGGAUGUGAAAGCCCUUGGCUUAACCGAGGAAGCGCAUCCGAAACUGGCGAGCUAGAGUACGAAAGAGGAUCGCGGAAUUCCCGGUGUAGAGGUGAAAUUCGUAGAUAUUCGGAAGAACACCAGUGGCGAAGGCGACUUACUGGACACAUAUUGACGCUGAGGUGCGAAAGCGUGGGGAGCAAACAGG
rnacentral:rRNA from 1 species